rnacentral:rRNA from 1 species
UAACAAGGAUUCCCCUAGUAACGGCGAGUGAAGAGGGAAAAGCCCAAGUUUGAAAGCUGGCACCUUCGGUGUCCGCAUUGUAAACUCGAGAAGCGUUAUCCGCGCCGGACCAGAUUUUUUUAAGUCCAUUGGAAUAUGGUACCAUAGAGGGUGAUAGUCCCUUUCAUGGUCUGGAACCCCCGGAGCUUUGUGAUGCGCUCUCCAAGAGUCGAGUUGUUUGGGAAUGCAGCUCAAAAUGGGUGGUAAAUGCCAUCUAAGGCUAAAUAUAGAGGAGAGACCGAUAGCGAACAAGUACCGUGAGGGAAAGAUGAAAAGAACUUUGGAAAGAGAGUUAAACAGUACGUGAAAUUGCCGGAAGGGAAGGACAGGGAGUCAGUUAAUGGACCUUGCGGGAUUCAGCUUGACCUUUCGAGGUUGGGUCUAUGUCUGCUUGGACCAGGCCAGCAUCGAUUUUGGCUGCCAGAUAUUAGUAGGGGGAACGUAGCAUUUUCUUCGGAACAAUGUGUUUAUAGACCUUUGCUUGGUACGGCGGCUGGGAUCGAGGAACGCAGUGCACCCUUCGGGGCGGGCCUUCGGGCACCUUUGCACAUAGGAUGUUGGCUUAAUGGCUCUCUAUCACCCGUCUUGAAACACGGACCAAGGAGUCUAACAUGUAUGCGAGUCUUUGGGUGUGAAAACCCGCAGGCGAAAUGAAAGUGAAUUUUUAGGUGGGACUCCUCGGAUGCACCAUCGACCGAUCUCGAGCUUUUAAGUGAAGGAUUUGAGUAAGAGCAUAUAUGUUGGGACCCGAAAGAUGGUGAACUAUGCCUGAAUAGGGUGAAGUCAGGAGAAAUUCUGAUGGAAGCUCGUAGCGGUUCUGACGUGCAAAUCGAUCGUAAAAUUUGGGUAUAGGGGCGAAAGACUAAUCGAACCAUUAAAAUUGAUAGGUGGUUAAGAGGCAGCUAAAAGUGUCUGUCUAGUGGGCGUUGAGGCCUGCGACAUUGUCAAAUUGCGGGGACGACCUUAGAGCCUGAACUACCGCGGCCCUUCGAAAGAAUGGGUGCAGCACCAGGGUAACGACCUCGGGGAUGGUAAAAACGUUCAGGAUUGGUUAAUCCGCAGCCAAGUCCUACGGCAUUUCUUUUCGGAAUGCUAUGGAUGCAGUUCACAGACUAGAUGGCAAUGGGUGAUCCUUUUUGGAUUGCUUAAGAUAUAGUCGACCCCCCCGCGAGAGCGGGCUUUGUAGAUGAAGCUUAGGAUCCCUCAACAAAAGGUCCUGGGCCCGAGCUACGAAGGGCUGGCAUAAAAAACCAGUCGGAUAC